rnacentral:rRNA from 1 species
GUGCCAGCCGCCGCGGUAAUACGAAGGGGGCUAGCGUUGUUCGGAUUAACUGGGCGUAAAGCGCACGUAGGCGGAUCUUUAAGUCAGGGGUGAAAUCCCGAGGCUCAACCUCGGAACUGCCUUUGAUAUUGACGAGCUCGAGUUCGGAAGAGGUUAGUGGAAUUCCCAGUGUAGAGGUGAAAUUCGUAGAUAUUGGGAAGAACACCAGUGGCGAAGGCGGCUAACUGGUCCGAUACUGACGCUGAGGUGCGAAAGCGUGGGAAGCAAACAGGAUUAGAUACCCUGGUAGUCCACGCCGUAAACUAUGGAAGCUAGCCGUCAGGGAGCUUGCUCUUUGGUGGCGCAGCUAACGCAUUAAGCUUCCCGCCUGGGGAGUACGGUCGCAAGAUUAAAACUUAAAGAAAUUGGCGG